ACCAAAUUCCAGGUUCCUAUAGUUUCCAAGGGUUACACCUUUCAUACCAUACAUACCACCCCACCAUGCUGCAGCCAAUAUUCCUGUACUGUCACUAUCCCCGCCAUGAAACAUUGAACAAGAGCACAAUUGAAACCAGGAAUCUUUUGCCAUCAUCAAAGCAUUGUAAGCAAUCAUUGGUGCAUCAUGACCACUGGAUCCACCCCAACCUGCAUAACUGACAGAUUUAUAAAAAGCAUCAUGUUCAGGUCACUUACAUUAUGAUGACCUAUUUACAUAAUAGCAGCAUUUUGAUAUUGAUCAUGGACUCAAUGGCUAAAGUAAUGAAGAUAUUAAAGCAAAACAGCAAUGGCAAUUCAUACAGUUUUUGGAAGACAGAAAUUUGGAAAUGUGGAAAAGCGAUAAAAGGGAUGGAUCAAAGAUAUGGUCAUUUAAAGUGAGCAAUGUAAGAAGGAUGGAGGCAUUUGAGAUGUGGUUCUAGAAAAUGAUGGAUUGCAUAGACUUAUGCAACCCAAAGGUCAACGUUCUUUUAUUUCAUUUAUAAAUUGAUAUUAGAUAAAAGGAUAUGAAACAUUCAUGGUAAUGGCUUUAUCAAGUAAGUAAUCGAAGGAAGAGUUGAAGAUAAAACAUCUAAGAAAAGCAAAAGGAUUGAAAAGCUAAAUCACUAUAAAGGUUUGUUAAAA